rnacentral:pre_miRNA from 1 species
GUCAUAACAUCUUGAUCAAUGGCCAUUGUAAGAGUAGAAGGAUCCAUGAAGCAAUAACUCUCUUUGCUGAAAUGUGCGACCAAAUAGACUCUUGAUAUUUCAUUCUUACAGUGCCCAUUGAUUAAGAUGUUAUAAC